rnacentral:rRNA from 1 species
CUACGGGGGGCUGCAGUGAGGAAUCUUCCGCAAUGGGCGAAAGCCUGACGGAGCGACACCGCGUGAAGGAUGAAGGCCUUUUGGUUGUAAACUUCUUUUCUGGGGGAAUAAAUGAUGAAGGUACCCCAGGAAUAAGCACCGGCUAAUUACGUGCCAGCAGCCGCGGUAAUACGUAAGGUGCAAGCGUUAUCCGGAAUCAUUGGGCGUAAAGCGUUCGUAGGCGGUUAUAUAAGUUUGUGGUUAAAUCUGGUCGCUCAACGAUCAGAUCGUCACAAAAACUGUAUAACUAGAGAGUGGCAGAGGCAACUGGAAUUCCACAUGUAGGGGUAAAAUCCGUUGAUAUGUGGAGGAACACCAAAAGCGAAGGCAGGUUGCUGGGUCAUUUCUGACGCUGAGGAACGAAAGCGUGGGGAGCAAACGGGAUUAGAUACCCGUGUAGUC